GUGGUUAGCUCAGCUGGGAGAGCAUCGCCCUUACAAGGCGAGGGUCACUGGUUCGAUCCCAGUAC
rnacentral:tRNA from 6 species